UUUUCUCAGGAUCGAUUAAAUUCACUGUCUUAUAAAAAGCUUGCGAUUAAUAAUUUUUGUCAUUCGGUUACUGAAAUGUUGGGACUACAAGACAAAAUGAUUUGUAAGAUUUUCAUCAUCACCACAUACUUGGUUGUAGCCAAAUGUGCGUCAAUCGACCAAUCAUCUCUUAACACCAACCACCUUGUUCCUAAUAAUCCUGCCCCAAUUCAUGAGGAGCAAGCAGAAAAAUCGAGAACCCCACUAUUCAACGAUAAGUACACCCAAAUUGCAAACAAUGGCGCUUAUAUAACUCACACUUACCCUGUCUAUUCAACACCGAUUCAUACAUAUCCACAAUAUUCAAUUUCACCAGUGAACACAUAUACUGCUCCUAUAUAUCACCAUGGAGUACCAGUUCUAACUAAAGGUCCGGAGGUGUCAUACUCCCCUCACUUAAUCCAGGAUCAUUCUAUUAAAGCUUUAACUUAUUCACAAGCUCCAUUAGUGUCCCAUAUGACAUUUACUGGCCUUGGUACUAAUUACGCCUGGUAAGUUCUACCUGUGCAACCUCCUCCUAUUAAAUUAUGAAAUUCGCGACUGACUUAAGUAUAAAUGAUGUUUUAUAAUUAUGUUUUAAACUAUGCUAAGUACAUAUUAUGUUAUUAAAAUGCUUUUGAAAUAAG